CAGACGCUAUUCUUUUCACUUUCAAUUUUCAUACGCCAUUGAUUCACUUUCAUGUUAUUUUUUGAAUCGGUAUUUACAAACAAACGACAAAUUACUGACAGAAAGAAGUUCACAAUUACUGAUAUUCAACAAAUGAAGUACAAGAAGUUCUCAGCUCAUAAACUUACUGAACUCUCUUUCGAUGGAAGCAGUUUCAAUAUAAAAAGCUAACUUAUAUGUUGAAAUUACCAAGAAGAAGCUGUAACCAAUUAUAGAAUACUUUAAAAUAGUGAAACAACUGCAUGAGAAACAUUGUAUCAUGGUUCAGUCACUUUUGUUGGAUCUGAAAAUAAUAUCCAAUAGUCCUAAUAUAAUUGUAGCUAUGUCAAAGCUAUGACUACACUGGAAAAGUCACAAGAAACUAUUACAUUUAGAGUGUAGAAAGGUUGUAAAGAUGGUAACAGAAAAUUUGCUAUUACAGAGAGGAAUAAUGUUUGAGUUUUAGUGUUAUUUAAUUAGGAAAGUACAACAUCAGGAGUUUAUACAAAAAAUGGGUGUGUGGGCAGACAAGAAGUUAAAGAUUCUAUUGAUAACUAAUAAAGUGA
rnacentral:lncRNA from 1 species